UGGACAGUGGAUCUCUUGGGACAACUGGUUGAAAGUGUCUCUCUGUCUCUACUGUUACUCCUGGCUGAGUGGGUCGGUGCUGUGCUGUGUCUCCAGAGUGAUUUGUCAGGUUUGCAGGGAGGAGAGACACAAGGAGAGAGAGAGAGAGAGAGAGGGGAGGAGGGGGGAGACAACUCCGGUAGCAGGCAGGCAGCAGUUACCAGCCUGCUGCUGGCUGGGUGUGUUAACUCCACAUCUGACCUCUAUGGGAACGGAGCAGCCUCCACUCCUCCCCUCUCCUCCUGGCAGGCUGUGGGAACACGGGGGGGGACAGAUCUUCAGUUUGCCCCUCUCUCUGCUUCUGUUGAGCUCCGGGAAGCGGCCCUGGACAUGACAUGGACAGCUUUGGCAGCGAGACCCCAUCGGGAGACUCUGAGGAUUGCAGUGCCGACUGAUUCUUGGAUGUGAAAAUGGCACAGUUGGCACAGCGGGGCAGCCGUGCAGUUGUCUCGUCAGUCAUUAGCCAGUCAGAUGGUUAGUUAGUCAGCCUGUAAAUAAGUGGGGUCCUCCCUGUAGGGUCAACUUUUUGCAUAUCCUCAUCUGAACUCUUGAGGUGACUCAGACUUACCGAAUAACAAAAAACGGACCUGUGGGCAUGGUCACAGGUGCUCCGCAGCUGCUGUGGACGGAGGCAUCUGGAGGAUGUUGGAGGAGAUACAGAGGGCGGAGAGGCGCAGGGUGGAUCCAGCUUCUGCCCCGGCUGUGGUGGGGAGGGUUCCUGGCACCGUGAUUUGAUGCACAAAGAGAAACAAAAAUCACAUUGCCAGGGAUUUCCACUCCUUCACAGCUCAGCAGGCCAUACUGAGAGUGGAGUUCAUUGUCAGGUAAUCCCAAAGAAAUGUCUGCUGCAUCUGUGUAAUUGAUGUCACCCAGCAGUCCCCAUUAUCAGUGACUGGGAAUGUGUGCGAUAUUGCCUCCUCCCCCCCUCUCCAGAUAACUCACAGCCACCAAAGGAAAAGUGCUUCAUCUUGAAGAUUUCAUACCCACGGGAAAGUGAAAGCUCAUUAGCAAGCAUGAUGAAUCUGCUCUUAUCCAGCGACUCCAGUGAUCGUGGUUGGCACCAUAAAAUUAUAUUUCUGUUACUCUGAAUUUCUGUGGAUAAAUGUUUCAUUCAAAGCUUGAGGAGAUUACCCAAAGAAAGGUUCGCAAGUUGUUUUUUUCAUCGUGUCAGCGUUGUGAUAUUGACUUCAGGGCAUUGUUCCAGCCAAGUGGUACCACUGACAAGUUAGCUAUGAUUUGUGUAAGCAUUUAAUCUACCUGAAUGUAGAAGACAACGGUGCAUGAAGUGCAUUAUUCUAAAUGUCACUAAGUUUCUAACUACUUUCAUUUGGGAGCAUGAUUCAUUUUGAUGUUAUAGGUGCAACCAAUGUUUCAUUUCAUAACUAAUGCAGCCAUGAUUUAAUAAAGUUUAAAUGAGCC